GGAUUAGAAGCGACAACGUUGAUAUUCGUCAAUUACUAAGUGAUCUCCAUGCGAUUUCUCUUGAUCCCUUGUAUGGUGCCCAGAGCAGAAAUAUAAAUACUAUACGAGAAGUGUUCCUGAAAUUCCGUUCCCUUGUGUAUCGAAAAAGCGUUGAGAGUGAGUCAAGUACCCCCAUCAGCAAGUUACCUGUUGCAGCCCCUAUAUCAGACACUGGCCCCAGCAAUAAUGUGAAACAAACAUCAAAUCUGAAGCCACAAAAGAAUCCUGCCAGGCCUCAUGAUCCUUCUACCAAAGGAGGACGAAAGCGGGGUACUUCAGAUAGGCAAGAGGAACUGGCUGCCAAGAAAAAGAAGAAGAUCAAUGAUUUGAGAACAUUGGC
rnacentral:misc_RNA from 1 species